CAGAUAAGCACCAGGCCUGUGGCACCUCCGAUGAUUAUAGACUAAUGGAUCCAUUAUCAUCCACCUUAAUGGGAGGCUAUGAACUAGUUAUCUUUAUAACUAUUUUAUUUUAAGAAUUUAAUAAUUUAGAUGAUUUGUUAUAUAUUUUAGAAGAUAGAGAAGAAAUUGAUUGAUAAGUCAUAAAUCUUCCUACUGACUUCACC
rnacentral:lncRNA from 1 species